rnacentral:rRNA from 1 species
AGUGAACGCUGGCGGUAGGCCUAACACAUGCAAGUCGAACGGCAGCACAGAGGAGCUUGCUCCUUGGGUGGCGAGUGGCGGACGGGUGAGGAAUACAUCGGAAUCUACUCUGUCGUGGGGGAUAACGUAGGGAAACUUACGCUAAUACUGCAUACGACCUACGGGUGAAAGCAGGGGAUCUUCGGACCUUGCGCGAUUGAAUGAGCCGAUGUCGGAUUAGCUAGUUGGCGGGGUAAAGGCCCACCAAGGCGACGAUCCGUAGCUGGUCUGAGAGGAUGAUCAGCCACACUGGAACUGAGACACGGUCCAGACUCCUACGGGAGGCAGCAGUGGGGAAUAUUGGACAAUGGGCGCAAGCCUGAUCCAGCCAUACCGCGUGGGUGAAGAAGGCCUUCGGGUUGUAAAGCCCUUUUGUUGGGAAAGAAAUCCAGCCGGCUAAUACCUGGUUGGGAUGACGGUACCCAAAGAAUAAGCACCGGCUAACUUCGUGCCAGCAGCCGCGGUAAUACGAAGGGUGCAAGCGUUACUCGGAAUUACUGGGCGUAAAGCGUGCGUAGGUGGUUAUUUAAGUCCGUUGUGAAAGCCCUGGGCUCAACCUGGGAACUGCAGUGGAUACUGGAUGACUAGAAUGUGGUAGAGGGUAGCGGAAUUCCUGGUGUAGCAGUGAAAUGCGUAGAGAUCAGGAGGAACAUCCAUGGCGAAGGGUUCUACCUGGACCUAACUUUUCACUGCAGCACGAAAUGUGGGGAGAAUACAUAAUUACAUUCACUUUUAUUCCAAGGUGUUUUUUUUUUGUGCUUAUCUCCCUGCACCCCCCCCGCCGGCUUGC